UCCAUAGAAGCGUACGAUUCGUCCAUUCGCCGAAAGACCAGGACCGGACCAUCAUCAGAGGAAAGGCUCUCCUUUUCUUCGAGGUAAUCGAAACUGUCGGCGCUGUCUCCUCACCAGCCCAGGCAACGCCUCCCUUCCCCUUCAGAGAAGGCCCAGACCACGGCGCUCGCCUCAACACCAUUGCCCCCAGCCACGAGAGGAAGCAAAGCUGUGACAUCUGGAAAGUAAUUGGCAGGCUACUCGAUCCCAACUUGCCGCUAGAAGAGAGCUGCAAGUCCUACGCCAUCGAUGGACGCCAGGGCCAACGGCAGCAUUAGUUUGAGGUAGUGGACAACUUGGUCGAAGCGAGGAACAUUGAUGGAGCUGAAAUCAAAGCUAAGCGAGAAAGAAGAAUGGACCCGAGGUAUGCAAGGAUGAUGAUGGGUUUCACAUGGAACAAAGCUCACACAGCCUGUCGAUGCAUGCACGAAUAUAUUAGCAAAACCAGGAUACAUAUUGAGUCGUCAGACUAUCUGGAAAUUCAAAGGG